GCUGUGGCUUAGUGGUAGAGCACUUGCCUAGCAAGUGUGAAGUACUGGGUUCGAUUCUCAGCUCAGUA
rnacentral:tRNA from 1 species